rnacentral:misc_RNA from 1 species
AAGUCGUAACAAGGUUUCCGUAGGUGAACCUGCGGAAGGAUCAUUAACAGUGCUCUUUGUAUGCAAAUACAAACCCACAACCAACCAUGUGUGAACCGUUUUGACUUACCAAAUGUGUGCGGGUACUCAGAGUUGACGCUCUGAGUAUGGCUGUGCACGUUUUUUACUUGACAAACCCUGUUUUUGAAGUACUGAAUAGUAAAGCUUAGUUGAAAAACUUGCAAAACUUUUAGCAAUGGAUCUCUAGGUUCUU